CUACCAGGGUAUCUAAUCCUGUUUGCUCCCCACGCUUUCGUGCAUCAGCGUCAGUUGUAGCGUAGAUGACCGCCUUCGCCACCGGUGUUCCUCCUAAUAUCUAAGAAUUUCACCUCUACACUAGGAAUUCCAUCAUCCCCUACUACACUCUAGAUUAGUAGUUUUGAAAGCAUUUCCGAGGUUAAGCCUCGGGCUUUCACUUCCAACUUACUAAACCGCCUACGCACUCUUUACGCCCAGUAAUUCCGAACAACGCUAGCCCCCUCCGUCUUACCGCGGCUGCUGGCAC
rnacentral:rRNA from 1 species